UACGUAGGGGGCAAGCGUUGUCCGGAAUCACUGGGCGUAAAGCGCGCGCAGGCGGCGAUCUACGUCCGGGGUGAAAGCCCAGAGCUCAACUCUGGGACUGCCUUGGAUACGGGAUCGCUUGAGGAUCGGAGAGGCAAGGGGAAUUCCACGUGUAGCGGUGAAAUGCGUAGAGAUGUGGAGGAACACCUGUGGCGAAGGCGCCUUGCUGGCCGAUUUCUGACGCUGAGGCGCGAAAGCGUGGGGGAGCAAACAGG
rnacentral:rRNA from 1 species